AGAUGCCGGCGUCCCGUCCCGUAGGUGGGUUGGCGCACAGGUUUGGGAAAUGCAAGCCCAGCUCUGCGCCUUACCUGGCGCCUCCAGCCCUCCAGCAGCUUCGGCCCCGCUCUGAAAAGAUUGGCCAGCAGUUGCAUCCCUCGCACACACGGAGCCCUGAGCCCUGGGGUAACGCGGUUCCAAUUACUGCCAGAUCGGCAAGGCAUUUUGCAGAGGAAGAAACUGCAGUUUAAAGAGUGGCUGGCCUGUAGUCAUCAAGCCUGCAGACAGGAGAGGCAACACCCAGACUCAGAGAACAGGGUGUCUCUUUAUUAUACUACAGUGCAUCCUGCAGUUUUCAGAAAUGCUUUCGUUGUAUGAACUACAUGGUUCAGUUCCCAAAGGAAACCCAGGCCAAGCCUCACACCUCCAGGCAGCUGAUGAAGAGCAGACCUGUACUUGAGAAGCAGUUUUAACAGCACAGAGCGGAUGACAGGAGUCUGGUCAACAACAUCAUCAAAUGGAGACAGAGACUUUGUGUGUUCACGAUGUUCUGCAGCCAGAGAGAAGGGGACUAUAGUUCGUAUCAUGGUACAAAGCUGAGCCCAAACUCUGGUUUUGACCUUUACGGGAAGAAGGGAACUCACUCUGGGAAGCAUCUCUCAGCAGCUCCUUUUGUACGAAGAGCAAGGACAGCAGUGUAUCUAUGACACUCUUCUCAGGGGGCGUGUUAUCCUUGAAGCACAUGGUAGAAACAAGGUCCACAAAAAAGCUGUUGCACAUGUGCCGGAACUGGGCGUGCUUCUCAAUGGCUUUCCUUAGGAGGGAGGGAGAACUCGUGACAGAAGAAUUGUAGAAUGUGUUGCCCAAUACUUCCAGGCAGAGGGAAGGGAUAUUCGGAUAGUAUUUUGGUUUAAAUAUCAAGGUUUAUUUGACCUUGAACUCCACAAUUCUGUAUCAGCCUCCUAAUUGUUAGGUUUAAAACUAGGCUCUGUUUUUUUUUUGUUGUUGUUUUGUUUUGCAUUUUGAUUUUGAAUCAACAAAUGAGAUGGUCUUAACAAUGAUCAGAACUGGUCUUCAGACUACAACAGUGUUUCUGGGACACUACCAUUGUCUGGACCUAGAGCAUGGGCAAUAAAAUGGGAUGGAGUCAGGGCUGCUGAGGCCCUGCUCCUCUGUCUCCUGAAGACUGGGCCAGAUCUGCCUACAUCCUCAGGCAGAGACCAAGGCUGUGUUCAUAAAGAAGAGGAUCUGGGAGAUGGGCCCAUCAGUACUGCCCUUGCACCUGUAUCUCAGCAUGAGGGUGUGUAGGGACGAUGAGGCAGAUUCCUAGGCCUCACUGGCGGCUAAGCCAGGCAGAGACGAGCUGCAGGGUUACUGAGGUCCCUGUCCCAAAAUAGAGUGAUGAAGGAAGAUACCUGAUGUUGACGGUGGACACGUGAAUACACCCACAUGAACACAUACAUAUACAUACAAAGAAGGCAAUGAUGGGCAGGGGUUGGAUGAGUGGCAGGGUACAAGCUGAAUCUCAGUUCCACCUCCAGCACCACUCCAGCCCUCCCCACUAAAAGGCGCCAAGCUACACCGACAUGUUCGGUUUUCUUCCAAGGACUUUGUGACUUUCUAGCUUAUCUCCUAAGUUUGCUGUCUCCAUGUUGGUGCUUGUCUUAUUUGGGAAAGGGCAGAGGUCCAGGAAGCCUUGCUUCUGGCAUUACUUAUGGAAGUUCUCUGAAACCAGCUCUUACGCCCAAAGAACGCUGACCCAAGAGUUGACAUCUCCAAAGACAACAUUGGAAAAAAAAGCAAGGCAGCUUCCUCAAGAGAGAGGGUGACUUACCUGUGGUCCUGGGAAACAGUUGGUGAGAACUUGUCUGGCAAGUCAGUUAAGCAGUAGGGGCACAUCAUUUGCCCAGGGAUGAGCCAGGUCUGAAUGCAACGUAGACAAUACACAUGAUCACAGGGCAGACAGACGGGGUCCUGCGCAUCUCCAUGGCAGAUGAAACAUGGCUGAAUACCAAACCUAAAACCCAAGAAAGUGAUCGAUUUCAGAGCAGAAAUGCUGGCUACAAGAAACAGUUCCUUCCACCGCAAAUCCAAGUAAUCUCAAAGUCUUAAAUUACACAUCUCACCUGCUGAACUUCUUGCUGGCCUUGUCCUUGCAGUCACAGAGUGUGGUCAUUACAGCCACAAAUGGCCUGCAGGUCUUGAGGUUAGAGUCCUCUUCAAGACACUGAGGGAGGAGGGCAGUGGUGAGUAGUAGGUAAGGGUCUAUAGGGAAAGUGACCCAGCACCCAUUGUCUCAGUGGCUGCUGACGAACAGUCAUGGCCACAAAAGAGCAGCACAAGGCUCUUGGGAUGCUUGCCAUAGGAAGUUCCCACAUUUUCAGGAGACAGAGCAGUUAAGACCACUGGCUGCUGUUCCAGAGGAUCCUGGUUUGAUACCCAUUACCCACAUGGCAGCUCACAGGGGAUCUGAUACUCUGGCCUCCCUGGAUGCCAGACACACAUGCAGGCAAAACACUAAAGCAAGUUCCAGGACAGCCUGACUUAAAUAGUGAGCUCCAGGAUAGCCAGAGCUACAUAGUGAGACCUUACCUCAACAACAACAACAACAACAAACUAACAACAAUAAAAACCAAGAAGAAAGUUCCUACAUUUACAUGUCCUUUAAAAACAAACUUUUAGCCGGGCAGUGGUGGGGCACGCCUUUAAUCCCAGUACUUGGGAGGCAGAGGUAGGCGGAUUUCUGAGUUUGAGGCCAGCCUGGUCUACAAAGUGAGUGCCAGGACAGCCAGGGCUACACAGAGAAACCCUGUCUCGAAAAAACCAAAAACCAAAACAAACAAACUUUUAAGUAGCUGCAGUGAAUAAAUAAAUUAAUGCAAUAAAAUAAUUGAAAAAAUAAAACAUUUUAAAUUAA
rnacentral:lncRNA from 1 species